UGUGGCAUUAUCUUUGUUGUGUUCAUACAUUGUGCGCAUGGUUUUCUUGGAAUUGCUUGUUCAUGUGUGUCUACUUGCUUGGGCUUUUGCAUAUUGUCAAUUCGAGAAUGCUUCUCUUAUCUUAUCUGGCUUCAAACUGCUUCUUUUUGUUGUGGAUAUUUCUGCUAGGUUUCAUUUGUUGUGGGAUAUACAAUAUGCUAGCCAUUAGUUGAUCUUACAAUGAUAAUAGGACAUUGAGAAGCAUUUGGAUAAUUCGGAAGUUCAAGUAUGAUCUGAUGCUUUUCUAAUGUUAGCUGUGCCUUGUUGUGAUGCAAAACAUAUCAACUGACAGCCUUGCUUAUUGCACUAGAAUUUUGAUGCUUGAUGAUGACUAACAAUUCUUGUUGUAUAGUCUCUCUCCAAAUCCAUGAAUAUGUUUAUAGCUUGUCUCAUACAACUACACGGCAGAAGUUUUGAAAUGAUUUUCUGUUGAAUAGGAAUUGAAUAUUGAUUUGUGAUGUAAAAAAAUAUAGUUGGGUAUUUCCGAAAAGCUUAAGGGUGUUGACAAGACUCAAAUUUGAAUAAGCUGAGCUCAAAAUAGGAAAAAAGCUGGUUCUACCCUGUCAUCAGCUAAAAUUUCCUUGGUCACAAUCUUUGUUGUGUUUCUAGGCUCAUCCUUUAUUAUCACUUACUGGGAAAAAAAAUAUUAUAUUACAGUGAGUUUUUCCAUUAAAGUAUUUUUUUUUUCUUGGUCCAAGUGGCUGAACUGAGAGGAUUAUAUUGCAACAUUUGCAUCUACCGUUGGCAUGCUUAAGUUAGUUGAGUUAUUGUUUUUAUUUUUUCCAUAUCAUGUAGUUGGUCAUGAGUUGGUUUGGUUUACAAUUGAGCUUUAUUGGCAAGUAUUCCAUUCUCUGUACUUCUUGAGAAUUCCUUUUGUGCAAACAGGUUUAUAUAUUUUACUUUUUUAGCUUUCUUAUUUCAACAAGUGAAUUAUCAUGCUUUAUGAUGAGAUUUUUUGUUACAAUUGAUACAAGCAUAAGCCGGAGGAGUCUUGCCUUGCCAAUUUUCUUUGCUAGAUCACCUAGUUGGAUGGAUGAUGUUGUCAGGUUUUCAUGUCAAAAGGUGGUAUCUUUUUUUAGUUUAUCAGGGCAAAGGCCUGAGUGCAACAGUGUGAGUUUUACGAAAAAAAGAGAUGGGUUCUGUGUUUAGAUUUUAUACUUUUAGCUAUAUACACGAUAACCUACCAGCUAUUUGGGUGGGUUCUUAUUGUGUCUGCUUUUACUUGACACAAAUACCUUCUCUCUUUUUAAAAAAAAAGAAGAAAUGUAAAAAAAGAAGAAGAGGGUUUUUCAUCUAGGGCAUUUUUUCUAUCUUAUUUAUCCCCUAUUCAUCUUCUCCUUUCCUGCCUUCAACCACUGGUUGAAUGCCAUAAUGGUAUCUUUGUCAUCAUCAUGCAUAUGAAAAUACACCUCCAAAUUGGGAAUUUGCUGAUCUACUCAUGAUUGUAAUUCGUUCAUGUUUCUGAUUUUAAAUCGACUCUGAAAGUUUUAAUGUCUUCUUAAAAUUGAAUUACUAGUUUAGAUUUUUGAAUGAAUAGUCCAUGUCAUAUGUAGCUAGGCUUUUGUAUUACUGGUGAUCUCAGGACAUUUGAUUGUUGGAUUGAAUUCAACUGGUGAUAUGCCACUAAUAGAAUGUUUGCAAAUGAAGGGGGAAAACAGAGAUGGGCAUUGUGCAAUCAUUCUCCUUUUUGUCUAUAAUGUUUAUAAACUUCAAUGUUCUAUGAAGGGGGCCAAAAUGCUUGCUUAGUCUUGUUGAUUAGAGAAUAAUGCUAUCCAUUUGAUUUUGAAUGCUUAUGAUCUUCAUGGAAAAAAAAAGAA